ACAAAUACCCACGCAUGAAUCAUUCUGAAUUACUAUGAGUUAUCGUAGACUAAGUUCUUCAUUUAUAAUAGGAUCUACGCCGGGUCACGACCUCGUUGCCCGCCAGUAGCCAUCGAUUGGAUACCGCUGCCAACGCGCCCCGCGGAAACUUACGCAACACUACUUGUAUUGAACCGUUCCUACAAUUAUAUAAGUGUCUGCUGCAUUACCGGUUCUGUGGAAAUAUCAAUUCACUCUGAUGAGGAGUGCUGGAGAAAACGAGAGUUCUUUUUACAUGUAGGUAACCUAUAUUAUUGUAACGACGUCAAUACUUAAAAAUUAAAAAUGAGUGUUAUUUUUUAUCUAACAAAUAUUCCAAAGCAAUUCGAAACGAUCAUUUAUACCAUUAGGAAAUAUCUUUGGACUGUGGAUGUGAACAAUGUCCAUUCAUAAAAAAAAAAAUCCAGAUCAUUACUAGUAACUGUUACUAGAGACGUCGUCACUGGCAUGGCCGGCUGUUACAAGAACUGACCGGAUUAGAGGAGUAGAGCCGGAUUCUUCAAUUUGUAGACAAUUAUUGAAUCAUAUAUCUCCAAAAGUCCUCGCCACAACACUAGCAACGAUGUACGAAUUUAGUUAUAUUUAAGACGUUUUAGUACUAUUAUUGUCACACUUAUCGAUACAAAAAUGAUGAUAUUAUAAUAUUAUAAUCGGCCGAAGUCUGUACAUAUGAUAAAAUUAUCAAAUACAAUUUUUUUUUUAAUAUUUU